rnacentral:lncRNA from 1 species
CUGUUUUCACCUCUCUCUCUCUCUCUCUCUCUCUCUCUCUCUCUCUCUCUCUCUCUCUCUGUGUGUGUGUGUGUGUGUGUGUGUGUGUGUGUGUGUGUGUGUGUGUGUCUUACCAAAGAUUUUGACCCUGGGUCUGAGAUAACUCAUGGGUCCAACUGCAGGGAACAUAGCGAUCAGAGUACCACAAGGAGGACAAGCACAAGACAUCACAAGAUCCAGACUCAGGUUCUUCAGCUGACAAAGAUGGCAAGAGGCAAGAAUCUAUGAUUAAAAUUUACUUGGCGGCAUAUCAAACAAUUUCUAAGAGAAGGGACAAUGUUAAACUACGGUGUCUAAAGUCACACAUUAAAUGGCCAACUAGAAAGACAUGUGAAGAGCAGAGCACUCUACUCGUGCGGUAGCGCCUGUCAUCCGGCCAAGGUCUAGACUUCCUCAGUUUACCUGGGAGGGACAGGGGGAAGAUGAAGAGGAGGGAAAGAGGAGCUGCUGCAGGAUGGCCGACCACUUAGAGGCGCGCAUGUGUUCUGAGUGUGGGGCACACGUGUUCCGAGUGUGAGUGCACACGUGUGCAGAGUGUGAGUGCACACGUGUGCAGAGUGUGGUGCACAUGUGUUCCGAGGGUGGGGCACACGUGUUCCGAGGGUGGGGCACACGUGUUCUGAGUGUGAGUGCACACGUGUUCUGAGGGUGGGGCACACGUGUUCUGAGGGUGGGGCGCACGUGUUCCGAGGGUGGGGCACACGUGUGCAGAGUGGUAGAUUCUGGGUGGUGAUACUGAUAUGCAAGAAGAGAGCCCAUCAUCGUCCCCUCUUUUGCAGGAGGAAGCAAGAGGAGCAGCUGCACCAGUAGAAUUAAACGUGUAGAAUUAAGCGUGUCCCCCUAGUGCUCUGCACAGGAAGAAAGUCCUCCACCUGACCGCAGGCAGCAGGCCGGCCUCCUACAGGUCCUUGAGGGGCAUCUGUUGGUAGGGGGGCUCCAGAUGACAGGGACAUUUGACAUAGAUAAGAUUGAGCACUGAGAUGAAUGUAAUGACGCCUUUUAUCUGAGCGCAGUAUAAAUGGAGAACAAGAAAUGCACUUUAAAGAAAAAUGUGACCAUGCAGGCAUACUUCUAAAGCUAUAGCCACAGAAAGAGUAGGUAUUCUAAAUGUGAUUACCACUACAGAGACAAUGGGCAGCGAAGAUUGAAAUUUGGUUGUGAGCCACUAUUGGGUUCUGGGAAUUGAACUUCUGUCCUCUGGGACAGCAGCCAAUGGUUUUAACUGCUGCUGGUGGUGGUGGUGGUGGUGGUGUGUGUGUGUUGUUGGGGACCAAAAUUUAUCUAUUAAAGUUUCUCAGGGUCCAAACCUCCAGCUCCAUCUUUUAGAAACCUGAACCUCCAUUGCAUUGCAGAUACUGGCUAAUUGCGGCUGGAUGGUCUGGCCUCAGUGGAGAAUGUCUCCUAGUUUGCAUUAGAACAGGGCUAGACCUUGAAUGUGCUGCACCUGUGCUGAGAACUUUGUCUAUGUGCUUAGAGACCUUUUUAGGGGUGCCCUAGGGUAAAAUGAGUUAAGAGGAGAUGGUCUCUGUGGUCAUGCGCCGAAGGUUAGAAAGCUGUUUAGGAAGAUGCUAGAAUAAACUGGAGACUCUGGUUUGCA